UACAGAGGUCCCGAGCGUUGUUCGGAUUCACUGGGCGUAAAGGGUGCGUAGGCGGCGGGGUAAGUCUGAUGUGAAAUCCUGGGGCUCAACCCCAGAACUGCAUUGGAUACUGCCUUGCUAGAGUACUGGAGAGGAAACUGGAAUUUACGGUGUAGCAGUGAAAUGCGUAGAGAUCGUAAGGAAGACCAGUGGCGAAGGCGAGUUUCUGGACAGUAACUGACGCUGAGGCACGAAGGCCAGGGAGCAAACGGG
rnacentral:rRNA from 1 species